CUUGGAGUUACCUGGGUCGUGGAGAGGCGCCACAACACACAUUGCUUUGGGCUCAGCUGUAGUGUCUGUGGUCCUGAGGUAUCCCUGCACAACAAAAGCAGUCAAGAAUGUGAAAAAGCCUUUUGGAUCUGACAGCCUCGGCUCCACUUUGAACUAGAUAAUCCGGACUAACUGCUCCUCCCCAGCCAGAUUUGAAUUCUCCAUUUUGUAUAAAGAAUCCACUCAUCUUUCUUAUUCAGGAGUUCUGAGAAGACCUGCUAUACUACGGAGCGACAUUGUGGGUGGAGAGACCUGGCUUCCUCCUUUCGUCAUCCACAGAAGAUGGAGACUGAAACUUACUAGCUUCGGGGGUUGGGGGGGGAGCAAGCUUUGGGAGUCAGUUCAGGGGUGCAUCUCUCUUCUGCAUACCAGCCCCCCCUUUUCUCCAGCCUCCCCACAGACUGCGAAUGCUCUGCUCAGAAUCUCAGGCUGCUGCCAAUUACAAAAGGACUCUUAACUCCGUGUUCACAGACCCUUGAUUGAUAGCACUGGAUCAUGGCCGAGGAAACAUCCAGGAUGGACAGGAGUUGUGUCUGUCUCCUAGCCUUUGUGAAGAAGGAAUCUGGAUCUCUCCUGACCCUGGCUCAGUGUCCUGGGACUCAGAAACCAGGAGACAUUUGUGCAGUGGUACCAAGGACAGAAUAACCUGCUGGUCUAAAGAGCAAAGCUUGGUGUCUUUAUGACACUGACUCUGCAGGCAGUUUCCAAUUAGAGCACUGUAGCCCUUCGUGGAGACACAAAGAUACCAGGACAUGUGAUGGCACUCUGGUUCCUUAACUGCGUCUGUCUGGUGCCAUGCUCCUGGUGGGCCAGCUGACUGUGUGCAGCUGAGUGCUCGUGGCCUCCCCAGCAGGCCCUGUGGAGGUUAGCAGCAAUUGAGAAAAAGAGCUAGCACAUGUUCCAAAAACCUACAAGCACUACUCAAAAUGCAGACCACGUGGGGAAUAAGCCAUUUGUCAUUUGCCGUAAGGGUGCUGGAGUUAACUCAGUUUAAGGAGAGUUACUGCCCAGUCUGCUGUCCCUGCAGUCUACCCAGUAAUUCUGUUCUCUCUCCCUCUCCCCCUCUCCAAUCCUGGACACACACACACACACACACACACACACACACACACACACAGAGAGAGAGAGACAGAGAGACAGAGAGCAAAAGAGACAGACACAGAGAGAGACAGAGAGAUAGAAAGAGAGACAGAGACAGAGAGAGGGAGGGACGGAGGAAGGGAGAGAAGGAGGGAGAGAGAGAGGGAGAGAGGGAGGGAGGAAGGGAGGGAGAGAGAGACAGAGAGAAAGAGAAGGAGGGAAGGAAGGAGAGAGAGAGAAGGAGGGAGGGAAGGAGAGAGAAAG
ensembl:lncRNA